AAGCUGUGAGGCUCUUUCGAGUAACAUUUCUCCCCCCACUUCUUCCAGGAGGUACCGGGAGAGCAUCUGGCCUGUCAGCGAAAAGCCGAGGAGGAGCGGCAAAGUGCAGAGCUGCUGCAGGGAGGAUGGGCCGUUUCAGAAGCCAGAGCCGGGGUUUGCGGAGCUGGAGAAGAGACUCAGCGAUUUCUCUCUGAAAAGUGCCAUCCUGCAGGAGGUGCUGCUGGGAUUCAAAGAGACUCUGCGGCUGGAGCUGGAGCACCACACAGGUACGUUUCUGUCUCUCCUGGGGGGGUUCAGACCGAGAACCAUGUUAGCGGCCGGGGAUUGCUGCCCCCAGCCUGAGAUAAACCUGAAAGCGGUGGAGCAGUGACUGCCCAGGUCACUCCUGCAGUGAGGUCUGGGGGGGUCAGAGUGAAUCCUGAGCUGACGGGUGCAUUUCCCUUUGAGAAAGGAACAAGAACCUGAGUGGUGUGAAAUGGUGAGACGAGGCUGAAACACC
rnacentral:lncRNA from 1 species